GACGAACGCUGGCGGCGUGCUUAACACAUGCCAGUCGUACGGUAAGGCCCUUUCGGGGGUCCACGAGUGGCGAACGGGUGAGUAACACGUGAGUAACCUGCCCACAACUUUGGGAUAACGCUAGGAAACUGGUGCUAAUACUGGAUAUGUGCUCCUGCUGCAUGGUGGGGGUUGGAAAGCUCCGGCGGUUGUGGAUGGACUCGCGGCCUAUCAGCUUGUUGGUGGGGGAGUGGCCUACCAAGGCGGCGACGGGGAGCCGGCCUGAGAGGGUGACCGGCCACAGUGGGACUGAGAAAAGGCCCAGACGCCUACGGGGGGCAGGAGGGGGGAAUAUUGCACAAGGGGCGCAAGCCCGAUGCAGCAACGCCGCGGACGGGAAGACGGCCUUCGGGUUGUAAACCGCUUUCAGCAGGGACGAAGCUUUUUGUGACGGUACCUGCAGAAGAAGCACCGGCUAACUACGUG
rnacentral:rRNA from 1 species